CCUACGGGAGGCAGCAGUAGGGAAUAUUGCUCAAUGGGGGAAACCCUGAAGCAGCAACGCCGCGUGGAGGAUGAAGGUUUUCGGAUUGUAAACCUCUUUUGUUAGAGAAGAUAAUGACGGUAUCUAACGAAUAAGCACCGGCUAACUCCGUGCCAGCAGCCGCAGUACUACGGAGGGUGCAAGCGUUACUCGGAUUCACUGGGCUUAAAGGGCGCGUAGGCGGGUUAGAAAGUCAGAUGUGAAAUCCUAUGGCUUAACCAUAGAACUGCAUUUGAAACUGUUAUUCUAGAGUAUGGGAGAGGUAGGUGGAAUGCUUGGUGUAGGGGUAAAAUCCGUAGAGAUCAAGAGGAAUACUCAUUGCGAAGGCGACCUGCUAGAACAUAACUGACGCUGAUGCACGAAAGCGUGGGGAGCAAACAGGAUUAGAUACCCUUGUAGUC
rnacentral:rRNA from 1 species